rnacentral:rRNA from 1 species
ACGAACGCUGGCGGCGCGCCUAACACAUGCAAGUCGAACGGAGCUUAGAGAGCUUGCUUUUUAAGCUUAGUGGCGAACGGGUGAGUAACGCGUGAGUAACCUGCCCUAGAGUGGGGGACAACAGUUGGAAACGACUGCUAAUACCGCAUAAGCCCACGGUACCGCAUGGUACUGAGGGAAAAGGAUUUAUUCGCUUUAGGAUGGACUCGCGUCCAAUUAGCUAGUUGGUGAGGUAACGGCCCACCAAGGCGACGAUUGGUAGCCGGACUGAGAGGUUGAACGGCCACAUUGGGACUGAGACACGGCCCAGACUCCUACGGGAGGCAGCAGUGGGGGAUAUUGCACAAUGGGGGAAACCCUGAUGCAGCGACGCCGCGUGGAGGAAGAAGGUUUUCGGAUUGUAAACUCCUGUCGUUAGGGACGAUAAUGACGGUACCUAACAAGAAAGCACCGGCUAACUACGUGCCAGCAGCCGCGGUAAAACGUAGGGUGCAAGCGUUGUCCGGAAUUACUGGGUGUAAAGGGAGCGCAGGCGGGAAGACAAGUUGGAAGUGAAAACCAUGGGCUCAACCCAUGAAUUGCUUUCAAAACUGUUUUUCUUGAGUAGUGCAGAGGUAGAUGGAAUUCCCGGUGUAGCGGUGGAAUGCGUAGAUAUCGGGAGGAACACCAGUGGCGAAGGCAGUCUACUGGGCACCAACUGACGCUGAGGCUCGAAAGCAUGGGUAGCAAACAGGAUUAGAUACCCUGGUAGUCCAUGCCGUAAACGAUGAUUACUAGGUGUUGGGGGAUUGACCCCCUCAGUGCCGCAGUUAACACAAUAAGUAAUCCACCUGGGGAGUACGACCGCAAGGUUGAAACUCAAAGGAAUUGACGGGGGCCCGCACAAGCAGUGGAGUAUGUGGUUUAAUUCGAAGCAACGCGAAGAACCUUACCAGGUCUUGACAUCCGAUGCAUAGCACAGAGAUGUGUGAAAUCCUUCGGGACAUCGAGACAGGUGGUGCAUGGUUGUCGUCAGCUCGUGUCGUGAGAUGUUGGGUUAAGUCCCGCAACGAGCGCAACCCCUAAUAUUAGUUGCCAGCGAGUAAUGUCGGGAACUCUAAUAUGACUGCCGGUGAUAAAUCGGAGGAAGGUGGGGACGACGUCAAAUCAUCAUGCCCCUUAUGACCAGGGCUACACACGUGCUACAAUGGCGUAAACAGAGGGAAGCAGCCUCGUGAGAGUGAGCAAAUCCCAAAAAUAACGUCUCAGUUCGGAUUGUAGUCUGCAACUCGACUACAUGAAGCUGGAAUCGCUAGUAAUCGCAGAUCAGAAUGCUGCGGUGAAUACGUUCCCGGGUCUUGUACACACCGCCCGUCACACCAUGGGAGUCAGUAACGCCCGAAGUCAGUGACCCAACCGUAAGGAGGGAGCUGCCGAAGGCGGGACCGAUAACUGGGGUG